rnacentral:misc_RNA from 1 species
UUAAGUGUUAAGAUUUGUUUUUCAAUGAUUGGAUUCAGAAAAAUGGCGGUUGCUGCGAGCCAUGGACAAUUAGGAAGACUCGCUCCUUAAUGCUACAAUCGAAUAAACAAAAUGAGAUGACAAGUUCAUGAAAUGAAGGUGGUACCGCGGAAAACUCGCCCUUCGU